rnacentral:lncRNA from 1 species
CCCUUGCAGCCGCUCCAUAUAACGCAUUAUCUGGUGGACAAAUGUCAUUGCUGCAGUGAAGAUAGUAUUUCGAUUCAUGUUCCCACAGGCUUGGCAUUUCGUGACACUGUAGUCGGCACUAGCUCUAACCCUCUCUCAGAUAAUACCCUUUUCUUAAAGCAAGUGCCCGAUUUGUUGAGUUCGAGUUUCUAGCACCUGAGUUUCAUGACUGUUUUGAUUCUAUAACUGUUGCACCUCUUCUUCCAUCUGGG